UCUGAUUUGAUUCGGGAACGACGAGGCGAGUUUUUCCAGCGGCGACGUAGAAAUUGAGGGAAAAAUGCUGGGAACGUGACGCGCGAUUCUUCGCGAGACGCCAGACUGAGCUCUACAGUCGCUGGCAAACGUACAGAGCGCAGGAGAGGGAACGAUGAUGACGGCGACACGAGUCGCAUAAUCGGUUCACGAUUGGAAACGGGUCAUGGAACUACCUAAGGGAAGGGACCUUAAAGAUUGAAAGUUCCAUUUCGGAGAAAGCUGUGUGACACCGAUGGGAUUAACGUUCUAACGAUCCGAAGCGCAGCGACUGAAAUUUUCAGCAAGCCUGCAAAUUGUUUUCCAACUCUAUACCGGGGAAGAAGUCCUAUGAGAUCAUACUUUUGAGAACGAGUCUUACACAUUUUUAUGUCAUAGACGAAACAGUGAUAAUGACUACAGGGAGAAGGAUCUCUCGAGCAUGGUACAUACGAUCGUUUAGUUCAUUUCGAGACCGGCAACUUAAGAGAGAGCCCUGAGAAAAAUUUAAAAUCAAUUCGUUGCGUUCUUUACUUCACUUCUCAUUAUACCUGCUUCCCUUAAAACAAACGCAGUUCUCGUAUUUGAUUCAUUUUGUUUAAUUAUCUAGAAACGAGCUUGCUCUCGCAACACAAUUUCCUAUGAAAUAGGAUAUCUUGCCUUCUUUCACCAACAGAAAACUACACAAAAUUACUGCGAUGCUUUUCAGAUUCCGUGUAUAAUAAAGCUAAAUAAAAUAUUGUACACUUUUCUUGAACAGUUGUUUAAUUGCUACGAUUCCAGUUACGAUUUCAAAAGCCCUUGCCCGAAGGAAUGAAAGAGAAAUUAGACGACGUGCCAACUGGCAUUUAAUCAAACAUCGACCUUGCGCCUUCAGAUAACCUCGUACCAAUUUCACCAGGAAGUCAAAAAGUGGGUAGCGGAUAAAAAAGGACAGCAGAGUCGGGGUUAAGAAGAAGACAAAAAAUUCUUUUAGUAAAACCGCUUGAAUCGCAGUUCUCUCUGGAGCACGUACUCCUGUUAUCGUGGGUACGUGCGACUCUUUAAAAACACUAGGUAGGCUCCCGCCGGCUGUUCCGUAGGGACUGCAUAGACGUCCGAUCCCGAGGAUACGCUACGCUCGGUCUCGGCGAAACGUAUCCAGCAGUAAAUAAUGGCACCGACUCGUUCCUACGGCUCGAUGACAUAAUAAUCCUACCCAAGCUAAAUCGCGUUGAAACGGAUUCACCGUUUGACCCUGUCGUCUCGAUCCCCGUUUCUCCGUUGGCGGUGAUCGCGCUCGAUUUAUUGCGACCCGGGAAAUCGUUGCUCCAGUGCAUUGGUCUCUGCCCGGGAAAUCUUCAACGGGCAUUCUCGUGGAAACCGAGCACACCCGUAAUUCGACCGAGUAUUUGUCGUCCUCGAACGAACUGAAGGACGAGCUCCGUGUUUCUUUGCCACGUUACGCCACUGAGCGUUUAAACGAGAGGGUCGUUCAGAUGGAAGAGGAUACAAGCACCUUGCUAUUCUCGAAUUUCAAUCAUCUAUCUGGGGAGAACCCUGGGGACUAAUAAUCCUCGGUGUCGUCGAACUCUGACCCCGUCUUCCGGAACGUCGAUCAAAGACCCUCUUUCUGCUUGCACCCGGGGAUAAGCUCGGGUCUUAUUUUUGCAAAAGCCGAGUUAACAACAAAAUUUUUGCCUUUCCUCUUUGUCGAACAGGUUCGAUGCUCUACUACAAAAUUCCCCUACAGCGUUUCAUUCCCCUGGAGCUCGCACCGUUGGGGCGAUACCAUGGCGAGAGACUCUCGCUCGUGGCUGCGUUUGAAUAACGUCGAAACACCAACGUGGAAAAGUGCAAGGCUAGACUUACAGGCGUCCGUGAUUAAUUCUAGUGGCAGCUGCUCGAACGGAGCUCGUUAGCAUCUUCGAUCUGACCGCAGUAAUCCCUUCUAGUCUCUCUCGAACGAGAGAUCGAGUGUAAAAAGUAGCGAACAAGCGUAGCUAAUUUUCGGGUUGAAAAAGAAAAAGAAGGUCGACCAUCGACGGUCAACGUUCGAGCGACGAACGGGGAAAUUUGUUGGAAAAUCAAGUGUCAAAGAGCGCAAGGUCGAGAUUACACCGGGCGAACGUUGAUUAAAACCUGGCAACUGCUCUCUUUCUCUCCGGUUGGCUCGACAGAAUAAUUAGUGCGUACAAUUAGCCCGGCUCCGUGAAAACGGCAAGAUUUAACGAUUGUUUGUCAGAAACCAACACAAUUUUCCAGAGUCGAGAUUAAUGUUUCCCCUGGAACCAACUUUGCAACCUCCAUAGGGGAGGAUCGAUGUCAGAGCCUGGUUAAAAAGACUAAAAAAUGAAUCUAAGAUACCCUGUAAAUUUUUUCUCCUAUCAAAAGAAAUGUCACAGACUCAAGAAACGGGAUAAGAAGAAGCGUUGGUUCUACGUUAUGUUUCGGUGGCGUCCCGGCCAAUGAAAACGCAUCGGUCGCGUGCAACCUUGACCCAGCGAAGUGCAAACCACGAGCGGAAAAAUUUGCGAAACCGGAGGCAGAGGCCACCGCAACGAUUUUUACCCCAAAAUUCGUCGACGCAGAUAAUUUUACGCGGUAUCAAUCUGUGCCCGGAUGUUUCGUACGCAUGCAAGCGAGCAGCCCGCUCCUCUUCCUAACGCGUGUGGGAUUUGAAUUUCAUCGGUGGAAAUUCCAUCCGCUUUCCGGCUCGCUUUCAUACAUAUGUACACGUGUAUUCUCUUCCACGUUUCUCUCCUACGUCGCUUUGACCGCAGCCUUGGUCACCCGCGUUCCCCGAAGGAAAAUCUAGAAAAAUCGACGCCGUUCGAAUUGAGCUCCAGGGUGUUCGUAACGUGAUUCGUAAAAAAUAGAACAACGGGAACCGGGGAAGAGCUCAGGGAAAGACGAAGCACGGUUUCCGUCGUUUCGAUGUGCACAUCGUGGAUUCGCGCUGAUUUCCGAGAGAAAAGCAGUUUGGGCAGUUGUAUUGAUCGACGAAAAUGGGGUCCAGCCCCUCGAUACGAAGAACGUCGUCUACUUGCUGACUGGAUCUGGUUACGCUCCGGGAAAUUUCGCGGCGAACAGUUUGUGACCAA